UGAUCUAUUUUGUUGGAUCCGUUAUCUUGGUUUAAAAUUAUUUGAAAGUGAAGGUUUAGGUCCACGUACUCGAGGGUGUGUUCAAUUAGCAAGAUUAUUGGUUUUUAGUGGAUGCAAUUGAAACAUGUACCUGUAUUCUGGAUGAAUUUUGCUAAAUGUCACCUUUGAUUUGCAAAAAAAAAAUGGAACUCGAGAGUGUUGUUCGGAACAAACUCAUAAACUAA
rnacentral:lncRNA from 1 species